GAUGAAGAACGUAGUGAAAUGCGAUAAGUAAUGUGAAUUGCAGAAUUCAGUGAAUCAUCGAAUCUUUGAACGCCCAUUGCGCCCGCCAGUAUUCUGGCGGGCAUGCCUGUUCGAGCGUCAUUUCAACCAUCAAGCCCCCGGCUUGUGUUGGGGACCUGCGGCUGCCGCAGGCCCUGAAAAGCAGUGGCGGGCUCGCUGUCACACCGAGCGUAGUAGCAUACAUCUCGAUCUGGGCGUGCUGCGGGUUCCGGCCGUUAAACCACCUUCAUAACCCAAGGUUGACCUCGGAUCAGGUAGGAAGACCCGCUGAACUUAAGCAUAUCAAUAAGCGGAGGA
rnacentral:misc_RNA from 1 species